rnacentral:rRNA from 1 species
GCCUCGUGAAUUCAUCUCCGGGGGUAGAGCACUGUUUCGGCUAGGGGGCCAUCCCGGCUUACCAACCCGAUGCAAACUGCGAAUACCGGAGAAUGUUAUCACGGGAGACACACGGCGGGUGCUAACGUCCGUCGUGAAGAGGGAAACAACCCAGACCGCCAGCUAAGGUCCCAAAGUCAUGGUUAAGUGGGAAACGAUGUGGGAAGGCCCAGACAGCCAGGAUGUUGGCUUAGAAGCAGCCAUCAUUUAAAGAAAGCGUAAUAGCUCACUGGUCGAGUCGGCCUGCGCGGAAGAUGUAACGGGGCUAAACCAUGCACCGAAGCUGCGGCAGCGACGCUGAUGCGUUGUUGGGUAGGGGAGCGUUCUGUAAGCCUGCGAAGGUGGCCUGUGAGGGUUGCUGGAGGUAUCAGAAG